UGAGGAACAUGACCUUCGGCGGGGGAUAGCCGGCCCAACGGCCGGGUAAUACCGCGUACGACCUUUUGGGGACAUCCCCGAUUGGUGAAAGCAGCAAUGCGCCGAAAGAGUGCCUCGCGGCCUAUCAGCUAGUUGGUGGGGUAACGGCUCACCAAGGCGACGAUGGGUAGCUGGU
rnacentral:rRNA from 1 species